rnacentral:rRNA from 1 species
GACGAACGCUGGCGGCGUGCUUAACACAUGCAAGUCGAACGGAAAGGCCCUGCUUUUGUGGGGUGCUCGAGUGGCGAACGGGUGAGUAACACGUGAGUAACCUGCCCUUGACUUUGGGAUAACUUCAGGAAACUGGGGCUAAUACCGGAUAGGAGCUCCUGCUGCAUGGUGGGGGUUGGAAAGUUUCGGCGGUUGGGGAUGGACUCGCGGCUUAUCAGCUUGUUGGUGGGGUAGUGGCUUACCAAGGCUUUGACGGGUAGCCGGCCUGAGAGGGUGACCGGCAAAAUGGGGAGGGGGGUAGGGCCAGGACGCCUAGGGGGGGAAGGAGUGGGAAAAAGAGAAAAAGGGGCGGAGGCGUGGUGGAACAACGCCGGGGGGGGAAUGACGGCCUUGGGGUUGGAAACGGCUUUAGCCGGGAACGAGGGGGGGGGAAGGGAAAAGGGUAAAAAAGCACCGGCAAACUAGGU